CCUGACAGCUUACUUACAAGCCUGACAUCUACAAUGAACAUACUGUGAUGGAGGGUGGAAGAACCUAAAUUCUCUUACUAGCCUUUGUAUUUAUUUAUGAUUAUGUAAUUGGUAUCAGAGAAAAACAAAAGUCCAUAGAAAAAGGAAAGUAUUUUCUUAAGUGUCAAGAUCUUGGGUGACUAAGAUAAAACCUUAGUUACCUGAUCUCUAGUAUUGCCAGAUGAGCUGUUCACACAGUGUUUGAGUUUCUCAAACUGCAAAGGUGACAACUCUUUCCCCAUGUGUGUUGUUUGAGAAAUAGCUGCAAUUUAUGAUUUCUUUUUUCAUUCAGAGCAAAAGCAGUGCACAACUUCUGUGCACCAUAUUCCUGUGACCUUAGAGGAGAUAUUAGACAUGGAUCAACUGUUCCUGUCAUGGGCAGAGCCAACAAACUGUAAAAAACACUAUGUAAUGGGAGUUCAGCAUUUAACCUACCAGAAACAUUGCUGCUUCUAAUCUCAAGAUGACCACAGGCAAAUCAUGCCAGAAGCCAUAUAUUGUCAUCUGUUGGGGAUGGGAAAGAAUACCUUGCGCUUGACAGCUUACUUAGACCAGAUGCUUUUACUUAAGAGUUUUAUAAAGUCAAAAACAGGAAUGAAGGGACAGAAGACUAAGCAUAAACUAAGUUACUUAAUGAUAUUCUGAGGCUGUUACUGAGAUACACAUGAAGAUACACUGUUGUCUUUCUUAACGGAGCAAAAUGGCACAAGUGAAAUGCAGUGAAUAUGAAAACACAAGGAGUUUUAGAAGUCUUUCCACUUGUCUGAUCAGUGCUGGGAGGUGUAAUUGUUCUGGCUUUCCCCAGAGGUGGCCUAUGGACAAGUUUGUGUUAAGUGAACUGAGAGACCUGUAACCCCUUGGCUGCAGCCACUCCACAGCAUGGAUUCUGACUGUUUAUUUCAAAAACCCACCUAAUUAGGAGUAGACAUCACUUGUGAACAAAGCAUUUUCCCUCUUGCUUGUCUCUCCUCUGCUCAUAACAGGUUUUUAUUUCUCCAAGUGACAGAGGGGCUGCUUAGUCAAAAAGGCAGAACAAAUUCACAAAGCUAGAGAUAAGAUCUUCUUGGUACAAGGAGUGUUGACAGUGUCUUCUCUCUGUCUCUAUUCUGGGGUUUCUAUCCUUUCAUAGGUAGACUCUUACAUUGAACUAACUUAGAGUAGUGUUGGAUUGACUUGUUGCUGAUUUAUUAAGAUGUAUUUUUAAUCGACAAUCCGCAGAGCUACUUUGAGUUGACGCUCUGUAGUAAAACACACAUAGCAAAACA